rnacentral:rRNA from 1 species
GAUGAACGCUGGCGGCGUGCCUAAUACAUGCAAGUCGAGCGAACAGACGAGGAGCUUACUCCUCUGACGUUAGCGGCGGACGGGUGAGUAACACGUGGAUAACCUACCUAUAAGACUGGGAUAACUUCGGGAAACCGGAGCUAAUACCGGAUAACAUGUUGAACCGCAUGGUUCAACAGUGAAAGACGGUCUUGCUGUCACUUAUAGAUGGAUCCGCGUCGAAUUAGCUAGUUGGUAAGGUAACGGCUUACCAAGGAAACGAUGCGUAGCCGACCUGAGAGGGUGAUCAGCCACACUGGAACUGAGACACGGUCCAGACUCCUACGGGAGGCAGCAGUGGGGAAUAUUGCACAAUGGGCGGAAGCCUGAUGCAGCAACGCCGCGUGCGGGAUGACGGCCUUCGGGGUGUAAACCGCUUUCGCCUGUGACGAAGCGUGAGUGACGGUAAUGGGUAAAGAAGCACCGGCUAACUACGUG